rnacentral:lncRNA from 1 species
AAAACCUUCAUCAGACCCAACUCCUUCCUUCUUCAACAUAAUGGAUCGGCAACUCUCCUCUCGUCAGACUUCAGCGAAGGCGUCCCGGGUGGAUGGCAAUGACCGGCGACUGAGAAUAUGGCCCCUCACGUCAUUGAGUUUUCUGUCCAAUCCAGCCAAGAAUUCAUACAAUCGUUCAUUCUCUACCCUCUUCUUAUAGCGAACUAGGGCAAUUCCACUGUUCAUCCAUACUAAGGUCUAAUUCCUGCCAUAAAG